rnacentral:rRNA from 1 species
AUUGAACGCUGGCGGCAUGCCUUACACAUGCAAGUCGAACGGUAACAGGUCUUCGGAUGCUGACGAGUGGCGAACGGGUGAGUAAUACAUCGGAACGUGCCUAGUAGUGGGGGAUAACUACUCGAAAGAGUGGCUAAUACCGCAUGAGAUCUACGGAUGAGAGCAGGGGAUCGCAAGACCUUGUGCUACUAGCGCGGCCGAUGGCAGAUUAGGUAGUUGGUGGGAUCAAAGCUUACCAAGCCGACGAGCUGUAGCUGGUCUGAGAGGACGAUGCGCCACACUGGGACUGAGACACAGCCGAGACUCCGACGGGAGACAGUAUUGGGGAAUUUUGGAGAAUGGGCGCAAGGAUGAUCCUGCAAUGGAGCGAGCAGGAUGGAGGCCUUCAAGUUGUAGACUGCUUAUGUACGGAACGAAAAGCCCAGGGUUAAUACUCUGGGUUCCUGGUGGUAUCGUAACAAUAAGCACCGGCUAACUACGAGCCAGCAGCCGCCGUAA